rnacentral:rRNA from 1 species
AUUGAACGCUGGCGGCAUGCUUUACACAUGCAAGUCGAACGGCAGCGCGGGGCAACCUGGCGGCGAGUGGCGAACGGGUGAGUAAUAUAUCGGAACGUACCCAGAAGUGGGGGAUAACGUAGCGAAAGUUACGCUAAUACCGCAUACGAACUACGGAUGAAAGUGGGGGACCUUCGGGCCUCAUGCUUUUGGAGCGGCAGAUAUCUGAUUAGCUAGUUGGGGGGGUAAAGGCCCACCAAGGGGACGGUCAGUAGCUGGUAGGGGAGGAAGACCAGCCACACUGGGACUGAGACACGGCCCAGACUCCUACGGGAGGCAGCAGUGGGGAGUUUUGGACAAUGGGCGCAAGCCUGAUCCAGCAAUGCCGCGUGAGUGAAGAAGGCCUUCGGGUUGUAAAGCUCUUUUGUCAGGGAAGAAACGGCCGAGGAUAAUACCUUCGGCUAAUGACGGUACCUGAAGAAUAAGCACCGGCUAACUACGUGCCAGCCGCCGCCGUAA